rnacentral:rRNA from 1 species
CCUACGGGAUGCACCAGUGGGGAAUAUUGCGCAAUGGGCGCAAGCCUGAUGCAGCCAUGCCGCGUGUGUGAAGAAGGCCUUCGGGUUGUAAAGCACUUUCAGCGGGGAGGAAGGCGGUGAGGUUAAAAACCUCACCGAUUGACGUUACCCGCAGAAGAAGCGCCGGCUAACUCCGUGCCAGCAGCCGCGGUAAUACGGAGGGUGCAAGCGUUAAUCGGAAUUACUGGGCGUAAAGCGCACGCAGGCGGUCUGUCAAGUCGGAUGUGGAAUCCCCGGGCUCAACCUGGGAACUGCAUUCGAAACUGGCAGGCUAGAGUCUUGUAGAGGGGGGUAGAAUUCCAGGUGUAGCGGUGAAAUGCGUAGAGAUCUGGAGGAAUACCGGUGGCGAAGGCGGCCCCCUGGACAAAGACUGACGCUCAGGUGCGAAAGCGUGGGGAGCAAACAGGAUUAGAUACCCGCGUAGUC